rnacentral:rRNA from 1 species
UACGUAGGGGGCAAGCGUUAUCCGGGUUUACUGGGUGUAAAGGGAGCGUAGGCGGUGAUGCAAGUCAGAAGUGAAAGCCCGCAGCUCAACUGCGGGACUGCUUUUGAAACUGUAUGACUAGAUUGCAGGAGAGGUAAGUGGAAUUCUUAGUGUAGCGGUGAAAUGCGUAGAUAUUAGGAGGAACACCAGUGGCGAAGGCGGCUUACUGGACUGUAAAUGACGCUGAGGCUCGAAAGCGUGGGGAGCAAACAGG